rnacentral:rRNA from 1 species
UACGAAGGGGGCUAGCGUUGCUCGGAAUUACUGGGCGUAAAGGGCUCGUAGGCGGCCAACUAAGUCAGACGUGAAAUCCCUCGGCUUAACCGGGGAACUGCGUCUGAUACUGGAUGGCUUGAGUUCGGGAGAGGGAUGCGGAAUUCCAGGUGUAGCGGUGAAAUUCGUAGAUAUUCGCAAGAACACCAGUGGCGAAGGCGGCUUACUGGACCGGUUCUGACGCUGAGGCGCGAAAGCGUGGGGAGCAAACAGG